rnacentral:rRNA from 1 species
AUUGAACGCUGGCGGCAGGUCUAACACAUGCAAGUCGAACGGUAACAGGAAGCAGCUUGCUGCUUUGCUGACGAGUGGCGGACGGGUGAGUAAUGUCUGGGAAACUGCCCGAUGGAGGGGGAUAACUACUGGAAACGGUAGCUAAUACCGCAUAACGUCGCAAGACCAAAGAGGGGGACCUUAGGGCCUCUUGCCAUCGGAUGUGCCCAGAUGGGAUUAGCUAGUAGGUGGGGUAACGGCUCACCUAGGCGACGAUCCCUAGCUGGUCUGAGAGGAUGACCAGCCACACUGGAACUGAGACACGGUCCAGACUCCUACGGGAGGCAGCAGUGGGGAAUAUUGCACAAUGGGCGCAAGCCUGAUGCAGCCAUGCCGCGUGUAUGAAGAAGGCCUUCGGGUUGUAAAGUACUUUCAGCGGGGAGGAAGGGAGUAAAGUUAAUACCUUUGCUCAUUGACGUUACCCGCAGAAGAAGCACCGGCUAACUCCGUG